rnacentral:rRNA from 1 species
UACGUAGGGGGCGAGCGUUAUCCGGAUUUACUGGGCGUAAAGGGAGCGUAGACGGCCAUGCAAGCUCGGUGUGAAAGGUGCGGGCACAACCCGCAGACUGCACUGAGAACUGUAUGGCUGGAGUGCCGGAGGGGCAGGCGGAAUUCCUGGUGUAGCGGUGAAAUGCGUAGAUAUCAGGAGGAACACCGGUGGCGAAGGCGGCCUGCUGGACGGCGACUGACGUUGAGGCUCGAAAGCGUGGGGAGCGAACAGG